rnacentral:lncRNA from 1 species
UCAGGAUUAGAUAGUUAACGUAGGAGGAAUUGACGUUGCACCGGAGGAGAUCACGUUAGGAUAUUGGACGGCAGAAGGCUUCGAACGUCGGGCAUCGGGCCAAGGAGAGCGGGAUUGCACCAAGGAUAUCAGGGUUGCGGAGGUCAACCGCCGAUUGGGCAACAAGCCACAAGAGAGGACGAUGCGCUGAAGAAUCGGACGAAGC